UAGCCGUACUGAAAUAAACCAGGUGCCUCUGC
rnacentral:piRNA from 1 species